UGGAAGAAUCUUGGAGUUGGGAAUGUCACACGUAAUUGAAGGAAGAACAAGAAAACUAUAGCAGCUGCUCCCAACCCCAGAACCUUUGCUGUCUUGGGACGGAUCACCGCUGCAAGAGGGGAAGUUGCUACUGUGAUGAAUUCUGCCAUGUGGCACCAGACUGCCACCCAGACCACAGUGUCCUCUGCAACCCUGGUAACUCACAUACAGGCCCGAUUCCACCUACAGCAAAGCUGGAUGCGAUGGCUGGCAGAGGCAAACCCUUUGCCUGCACUUCAGGCCAAAGCCGGGAUGUGGCCUAGAUGGUUCCUAAGCUUCUCAGAUGACCAAGAUGGUGCUGCAGAUGGUGCUGAGGAUGGAGAACCCACCAAGCCCCGCUAGGAGCCACCUAGACUGGAUGCAGAGCAUGGUUCAGCGAGUUCUCCAAACCAGCCUCCCAGGAAUGCCAUUCACCAUGGCUGUGAGGAGAAUAAAGAAGAGAGCCUGACUCCUCUUCUGAGGCCCCUUCCCCACCCUGAGCCAGCA
ensembl:lncRNA MUC20-OT1 MUC20 overlapping transcript